rnacentral:lncRNA from 1 species
GGUAUUUGAGGUAGAUAUGUACAUGAAGGCAGGGUAAAGUGACUAGACAUCAGGAUAGAUAAUAAUAAGAUAUUUGAGGUAGAUAUGUACAUGAAGGCAGGGUAAAGUGACUAGGCAUCAGGAUAGAUAAUAAUAAGGUAUUUGAGGUAGAUAUGUACAUGAAGGCAGGGUAAAGUGACUAGACAUCAGGAUAGAUAAUAAUAAGAGUAAAAUAAAGAAGGAAGUCCAGGAUCCAGUUGUAGAGGGAGGGGUUCAGUCCCAGGGUCCCCGGCUUGGUGAUGAGCUUGGAGGGGACUAUGGUGUUGAACACUGAGCUGUAGUCUAUGAACAGCAUUCUCACAUAGUUAUUUCCCAUCUUGUCCAGGUGGAAGAGGCCAGUGUGAAGCACAAAUGAGAUUGCGUCAUCUGUGGAUGUGUUGGG